rnacentral:rRNA from 1 species
GAUUAAGUUAUUAAGGGCGCACGGUGGAUGCCUUGGCACUAGAAGCCGAUGAAGGACGUUACUAACGACGAUAUGCUUUGGGGAGCUGUAAGUAAGCUUUGAUCCAGAGAUUUCCGAAUGGGGAAACCCAGCAUGAGUUAUGUCAUGUUAUCGAUAUGUGAAUACAUAGCAUAUCAGAAGGCACACCCGGAGAACUGAAACAUCUUAGUACCCGGAGGAAGAGAAAGAAAAUUCGAUUCCCUUAGUAGCGGCGAGCGAAACGGGAAGAGCCCAAACCAACAAGCUUGCUUGUUGGGGUUGUAGGACACUCUAUACGGAGUUACAAAGGACGACAUUAGACGAAUCAUCUGGAAAGAUGAAUCAAAGAAGGUAAUAAUCCUGUAGUCGAAAAUGUUGUCUCUCUUGAGUGGAUCCUGAGUACGACGGAGCACGUGAAAUUCCGUCGGAAUCUGGGAGGACCAUCUCCUAAGGCUAAAUACUCUCUAGUGACCGAUAGUGAACCAGUACCGUGAGGGAAAGGUGAAAAGCACCCCGGAAGGGGAGUGAAAUAGAACCUGAAACCGUGUGCUUACAAGUAGUCAGAGCCCGUUAAUGGGUGAUGGCGUGCCUUUUGUAGAAUGAACCGGCGAGUUACGAUUUGAUGCAAGGUUAAGCAGUAAAUGUGGAGCCGUAGCGAAAGCGAGUCUGAAUAGGGCGUUUAGUAUUUGGUCGUAGACCCGAAACCAGGUGAUCUACCCUUGGUCAGGUUGAAGUUCAGGUAACACUGAAUGGAGGACCGAACCGACUUACGUUGAAAAGUGAGCGGAUGAACUGAGGGUAGCGGAGAAAUUCCAAUCGAACCUGGAGAUAGCUGGUUCUCUCCGAAAUAGCUUUAGGGCUAGCCUCAAGUGAUGAUUAUUGGAGGUAGAGCACUGUUUGGACGAGGGGCCCCUCUCGGGUUACCGAAUUCAGACAAACUCCGAAUGCCAAUUAAUUUAACUUGGGAGUCAGAACAUGGGUGAUAAGGUCCGUGUUCGAAAGGGAAACAGCCCAGACCACCAGCUAAGGUCCCAAAAUAUAUGUUAAGUGGAAAAGGAUGUGGCGUUGCCCAGACAACUAGGAUGUUGGCUUAGAAGCAGCCAUCAUUUAAAGAGUGCGUAAUAGCUCACUAGUCGAGUGACACUGCGCCGAAAAUGUACCGGGGCUAAACAUAUUACCGAAGCUGUGGAUUGUCCUUUGGACAAUGGUAGGAGAGCGUUCUAAGGGCGUUGAAGCAUGAUCGUAAGGACAUGUGGAGCGCUUAGAAGUGAGAAUGCCGGUGUGAGUAGCGAAAGACGGGUGAGAAUCCCGUCCACCGAUUGACUAAGGUUUCCAGAGGAAGGCUCGUCCGCUCUGGGUUAGUCGGGUCCUAAGCUGAGGCCGACAGGCGUAGGCGAUGGAUAACAGGUUGAUAUUCCUGUACCACCUAUAAUCGUUUUAAUCGAUGGGGGGACGCAGUAGGAUAGGCGAAGCGUGCGAUUGGAUUGCACGUCUAAGCAGUAAGGCUGAGUAUUAGGCAAAUCCGGUACUCGUUAAGGCUGAGCUGUGAUGGGGAGAAGACAUUGUGUCUUCGAGUCGUUGAUUUCACACUGCCGAGAAAAGCCUCUAGAUAGAAAAUAGGUGCCCGUACCGCAAACCGACACAGGUAGUCAAGAUGAGAAUUCUAAGGUGAGCGAGCGAACUCUCGUUAAGGAACUCGGCAAAAUGACCCCGUAACUUCGGGAGAAGGGGUGCUCUUUAGGGUUAACGCCCAGAAGAGCCGCAGUGAAUAGGCCCAAGCGACUGUUUAUCAAAAACACAGGUCUCUGCUAAACCGUAAGGUGAUGUAUAGGGGCUGACGCCUGCCCGGUGCUGGAAGGUUAAGAGGAGUGGUUAGCUUCUGCGAAGCUACGAAUCGAAGCCCCAGUAAACGGCGGCCGUAACUAUAACGGUCCUAAGGUAGCGAAAUUCCUUGUCGGGUAAGUUCCGACCCGCACGAAAGGCGUAACGAUUUGGGCACUGUCUCAACGAGAGACUCGGUGAAAUCAUAGUACCUGUGAAGAUGCAGGUUACCCGCGACAGGACGGAAAGACCCCGUGGAGCUUUACUGUAGCCUGAUAUUGAAAUUCGGCACAGCUUGUACAGGAUAGGUAGGAGCCUUUGAAACGUGAGCGCUAGCUUACGUGGAGGCGCUGGUGGGAUACUACCCUAGCUGUGUUGGCUUUCUAACCCGCACCACUUAUCGUGGUGGGAGACAGUGUCAGGCGGGCAGUUUGACUGGGGCGGUCGCCUCCUAAAAGGUAACGGAGGCGCUCAAAGGUUCCCUCAGAAUGGUUGGAAAUCAUUCAUAGAGUGUAAAGGCAUAAGGGAGCUUGACUGCGAGACCUACAAGUCGAGCAGGGUCGAAAGACGGACUUAGUGAUCCGGUGGUUCCGCAUGGAAGGGCCAUCGCUCAACGGAUAAAAGCUACCCCGGGGAUAACAGGCUUAUCUCCCCCAAGAGUUCACAUCGACGGGGAGGUUUGGCACCUCGAUGUCGGCUCAUCGCAUCCUGGGGCUGUAGUCGGUCCCAAGGGUUGGGCUGUUCGCCCAUUAAAGCGGUACGCGAGCUGGGUUCAGAACGUCGUGAGACAGUUCGGUCCCUAUCCGUCGUGGGCGUAGGAAAUUUGAGAGGAGCUGUCCUUAGUACGAGAGGACCGGGAUGGACAUACCUCUGGUGUACCAGUUGUCGUGCCAACGGCAUAGCUGGGUAGCUAUGUGUGGACGGGAUAAGUGCUGAAAGCAUCUAAGCAUGAAGCCCCCCUCAAGAUGAGAUUUCCCAACUUCGGUUAUAAGAUCCCUCAAAGAUGA